GAUGAAGAACGUAGCGAAAUGCGAUAAGUAAUGCGAAUUGCAGAAUUUCUAGUGAGUCAUCGAAUCUUUGAACGCACAUUGCGCCCUUUGGUAUUCCGAAGGGCAUGCCUGUUCGAGCGUCAUUAUCAACCCUCAAGCCUGGCUUGUUGUUGGACCUCAGGUCGCCGCUCCGGUGGACCGGUCUCAAAGACAAUGACGGCGUCCGUGGGACCCUCGGUGCAAUGAGCUUCUUCCAAAGCACGCAUCAGAGUGGGCUCGCGGGGGCCGUCUCCCCGUCAUAUUUUAUCAAGGUUGACCUCGGAUCAGGUAGGAAUACCCGCUGAACUUAUGCAUAUCAAUAAGCGGAGGA
rnacentral:misc_RNA from 1 species